rnacentral:hammerhead_ribozyme from 1 species
AUCUAUCUGACGAGUCUUAAAUGGAACGAAAUGUGCAUCGUGGAU